rnacentral:pre_miRNA from 1 species
AAUGUUUGACGCCGUUGACUUUUCUAAACAUGUUUGAUCGUUCGUCUUAUUUAAAAAUUUUAAGUAAUUAUUAAUUCUUUUCCUAUCAUUUGAUUCAUUGUUAAAUAUACUUUAAUGUAUACGUAUAGUUUUACAUAUUUCACAAAAGUUUUUGAAUAAGACAAAUGGUCAAACAUGUUUAAAAAAGUCAACGGCGUCAAACAUU